rnacentral:rRNA from 1 species
AUUGAACGCUGGCGGCAUGCCUUACACAUGCAAGUCGAACGGCAGCGGGCCCUUCGGGGUGCCGGCGAGUGGCGAACGGGUGAGUAAUGCAUCGGAACGUACCCGGGAGCGGGGGAUAACCGGCCGAAAGGCUGGCUAAUACCGCAUGCACCCGGAAGAGCAAAGCGGGGGACCUUCGGGCCUCGCGCUCUCGGAGCGGCCGGGGUCCGAUUAGGCUAGUUGGUGGGGUAAAGGCCCACCAAGGCGACGAUCGGUAGCGGGUCGGAGAGGACGAUCCGCCACACGGGAACUGAGAAACGGCCCAGACUCCUACGGGAGGCAGCAGUGGGGAAUCUUGGACAAUGGGGGCAAGCCUGAUCCAGCAAGGCCGCGUGGGUGAAGAAGGCCUUCGGGUUGUAAAGCCCUUUCGGCGGGGAAGAAGGCGGUCAGGCGAAUAGUCUGGCCGGAUGACGGUACCCGCAGAAGAAGCACCGGCUAACUACGUG